AUCUUACCCGUCUAUGAGGUAGUGUCGGGUUGAGGCCCGCCGGUCCAAAGUCAAGGUCAACCUUAGGAAGAUGAAUGUGUUGGAGAUCUUCCCCUCCCUGAUAACACUAAGUCCAUCUGGCCACACCAGAUAAGAUGACAGUGCUAAAGAUGCUUCUUUAGACGCGAGAAGACCUGUAGACGUCUGCACAAGCUUGAACCUUGGAUGGGAGUUUCCCUUCCCGCAUUCAAGUACAUGACUUCCUGAACUGAUAACUCUUAAUGUGUUUAAACUGUGGAUGAAAACAAGAAAUACUGCCAUCACCACAUCUUUCACUCCAUGGGAGAACAUCAACCAGCUUAACCAAACCUAGUUAGCUGGAGAUAAACAAAUUAAAACCAACACAAUUCA